rnacentral:rRNA from 1 species
GACGAACGCUGGCGGCGUGCUUAACACAUGCAAGUCGAACGGAAAGGCCCUGCUUUUGUGGGGUGCUCGAGUGGCGAACGGGUGAGUAACACGUGAGUAACCUGCCCUUGACUUUGGGAUAACUUCAGGAAACUGGGGCUAAUACCGGAUAGGAGCUCCUGCUGCAUGGUGGGGGUUGGAAAGUUUCGGCGGUUGGGGAUGGACUCGCGGCUUAUCAGCUUGUUGGUGGGGUAGUGGCUUACCAAGGUUUUGACGGGUAGCCGGCCUGAGAGGGUGACCGGACACCUUGGGACGGAGGUACGGCACAGACUCCAGCGGGAGGCAGCAGAGGGGAAGAGAGCACAAUGGGCUGAAGCCUGAUGCAGCAACGCCGCGUGCGGGAAGUAGGCAAUCGGGUUGUAAACCGCUUUCGCCUGAGACGAAGCGUGAGUGACGGUAAUGGGUAAAGAAGCACCGGCUAACUACGUG